ACUGGUCAAUCUAGUGGCGAACGGGUGAGUAACACGUGGGUAACCUGCCCAUCAGAGGGGGAUAACAUUCGGAAACGGAUGCUAAAACCGCAUAGGUCCUUUAACCGCAUGGUUGAAGGAGGAAAAGAGGCGCAAGCUUCUGCUGAUGGAUGGACCCGCGGUGCAUUAGCUAGUUGGUGAGGUAACGGCUCACCAAGGCCGUGAUGCAUAGCCGACCUGAGAGGGUGAUCGGCCACAUUGGGACUGAGACACGGCCCAAACUCCUACGGGAGGCAGCAGUAGGGAAUCUUCCGCAAUGGACGCAAGUCUGACGGAGCAACGCCGCGUGAGUGAAGAAGGUUUUCGGAUCGUAAAACUCUGUUGUUAGAGAAGAACAAGUGCUAGAGUAACUGUUAGCGCCUUGACGGUAUCUAACCAGAAAGCCACGGCUAACUACGUGCCAGCAGCCGCGGUAAUACGUAGGUGGCAAGCGUUGUCCGGAUUUAUUGGGCGUAAAGCGAGCGCAGGCGGUUCCUUAAGUCUGAUGUGAAAGCCCCCGGCUCAACCGGGGAGGGUCAUUGGAAACUGGGGAACUUGAGUGCAGAAGAGGAGAGUGGAAUUCCAUGUGUAGCGGUGAAAUGCGUAGAUAUAUGGAGGAACACCAGUGGCGAAGGCGACUCUCUGGUCUGUAACUGACGCUGAGGCUCGAAAGCGUGGGUAGCAAACAGGAUUAGAUACCCUGGUAGUCCACGCCGUAAACGAUGAGUGCUAAGUGUUG
rnacentral:rRNA from 1 species